UACGUAGGUGGCAAGCGUUAUCCGGAUUUAUUGGGCGUAAGGGGAACGCAGGCGGUCUUUUAAGUCUGAUGUGAAAGCCUUCGGCUUAACCGGAGUAGUGCAUUGGAAACUGGGAGACUUGAGUGCAGAAGAGGAGAGUGGAACUCCAUGUGUAGCGGUGAAAUGCGUAGAUAUAUGGAAGAACACCAGUGGCGAGAGCGGCUCUCUGGUCUGUAACUGACGCUGAGGUUCGAAAGCGUGGGUAGCAAACAGG
rnacentral:rRNA from 1 species